GCUGGCGGCGUGCCUAAUACAUGCAAGUCGAGCGGACCAAAGGGAGCUUGCUCCUGGAGGUUAGCGGCGAACGGGUGAGUAACACGUGGGCAACCUGCCUGUAAGACUGGGAUAACAUCGAGAAAUCGGUGCUAAUACCGGAUAAUAAAAAGAACUGCAUGGUUCUUUUUGAAAGAUGGUUUCGGCUAUCACUUACAGAUGGGCCCGCGGCGCAUUAGCUAGUUGAUGAGGUAACGGCUCACCAAGGCGACGAUGCGUAGCCGACCUGAGAGGGUGAUCGGCCACACUGGGACUGAGACACGGCCCAGACUCCUACGGGAGGCAGCAGUAGGGAAUCUUCCGCAAUGGACGAAAGUCUGACGGAGCAACGCCGCGUGAGUGAUGAAGGUUUUCGGAUCGUAAAACUCUGUUGUUAGGGAAGAACAAGUGCCGUUCGAAAGGGCGGCACCUUGACGGUACCUAACGAGAAAGCCACGGCUAACUACGUG
rnacentral:rRNA from 1 species